rnacentral:lncRNA from 1 species
GCUAGGUUGUAUCCAUAGAGGUAUAUAUUAACAUAGAGUGAGCCCUCACUCCGCCACCACUGACGACAAGAUCUCUUCGACUGGUUUGCGGUAUCUCUUUCUAGCACAAUGUAUCGAGAAACAUAACAUGAAACUAAGUGGGGGUACGGGACGGCAAGUGAAAUAAGGAGAAUUACUUUAUUCUUCUUUUUUCUUUAAUUAUUAUGACAAGUGACAAGACAACAUAACCCAAAUAAUUUACUCCGGCCCUAUUUCUAUUUUUGAACAAAUUGUUGGAAAUAUCUUAGUUUAUUUUUAGUUCUAGCUUAUUUAUGGCUAGAUUGAAAAUCUGAAUUUUCUAAUAUUGGUUCAUGAUUAUCAUCAGGGACUUGAUUCGGUUCUUAAACAGGAUCUCUUUUAGUCCCAAUCACUGCAGCAGUGGAGCUAUGUUUUUAUUUUCACUGUGCUAGUAGAUGGCGAAUAAAUCGUUUAAUUUUCAAUAUUUUUUUAUGAAAAUUGUUUCACAUGUACUUUUUAUAACAAAUGUUCAGUAGUAAUAACCCGAGGACAUUGAUAAUUGUUCGAAAAAAUUUUAUAACAGAUUUCGAAAGCUUGUUGCUUGGAAACAGACCGACGCCGUAGGCGGAGGUCUGUUGCCUGUAAGCAACAAGCUUGAGAAAGUUGUUAAAAGAUUUUUGAGCAUUUAUCAAUGUUCGAGGGUUAUUCGGAUAGAAAAUUUUUUGCUGAUAUAAAAUUAAUAAUAAUUUCAUUAAUAUUCUCAUCAGUAUUACAACCAAAUCGUGACAUUUUGAAAUAGUGAAUAUUUGAAAUGUCAAAAUCGAAAUGAAACGAAAUGUAGGUAUCCAUAGCUACAUGAUUGAGUGAAAACAGCCCAUGGGAUCUGUUUUCAGUAUAAUGUUGGUUUUAUUGGUUGUAUUCAAUCAGAUGACCACAAAUUAAUUGAUUUCAUUGGAUUUCUAAUUGAGCAAAAAAUUUUCAAAAUAAUUGUUACAGUACUUUUUAUUUUAGAAAUUCCCAAAAAAGUAUAUGAAUUUCAUACUUUUACACUAGGAUAGCCCCUUAAGAAAGGUAAAUUUCUAGAGCUGCCUAAAGACAGCCAUCAUUAUUCCUCUUCAUAAGGGUGGUGAAAAAUCUAAUGCCUGCAAUUAUAGACCUAUUGCAUUACUACUGGUACUCUCAAAUAGGACUCAUAUUACACAAGUAUAAAAACUUGUUGCUGGUAUGAGCACAUUGUGUAAAUGUUAGGAUUUAAAGAGGAUAUAAAAACCUUCAAUACAAUUAUGAGCGUUAGUCUCUUUAUAUCCUAACAUUUUUUUUUGUUAUUGUUUUAGUUUAUUAUUGUUUUAUUGUGUUUAUUAUUGUUUUUUAUGACUCUGUAAGUUUUGUGUAUAAAUUGUACAAUUUUCCAUGACAAUAAAGCAUUUUUCUAUUCUAAGUUGUCUAUUUGUUAAACCAAAGCAUUGAUUAUUAUUACAAAAUAUUAAUAUAAUCAAUUAAAUAAUAUUAAUCUCACAAACAAUAUAGGAAGUAUAGUUAAAAAGAAUAAACAUAGUAAUCCACAAGGAAAUAAAUCUGCACAUAGCUAUAGCCCAAAGUAACUUCUGUUGUUUAUCCAAAUCUUCAAUAGUCAAAAACAUUUGUGUAAAAUUAGAUUCUAGCAGUUUCUCCUUUUCCUACAUUUAAAAUAGCUGGUGUUUAUUCCUAAAAACAACAAAUACAUAAAUAAAAACUCUAAAUUGUAUACCAUAAAAAAAUCAUACAAAUAUGACAAAAUAUCACAAGAGUAUUUUAACAUUAUUUAAGGACAAUUGCCAUAAUAAGCCACAACAAAAAUGUAUUAAGCGAAAAAGCUAUAGAGCUGAAACAGGAAGUUGCUAUGUUUGGUCUAUAUAUUAAUGAAAGUAAAAAAAAAUACCUAAAUGGAAUAUAACAACGGAUUCUUAUCGGUAAUAAGAAGUGUUUUUAUGCAUACAAAGACGUAAUGAAAAGUAAGUUACUGUUACUGAAUCGUGAGUAUAAGCUUAGAAUCUACAAAACAGUAAUUACACCAGUGGUCACAUAUGGAUGUGAAAUGUGGACCAUCUCAACCACUAAUGAAAAUCAACUGAGAAUAUUUGAGCGUAAAAUACUAAGGAACAUAUUUGGACCAACACAUUGUAGAGAUGGUUCAUGGAUAAUUAAAAUGAACCACAAGCUGAAUGAACUAAUGCAGAGCACAGAUAUUGUUAGAUUUGUAAAGUCUCAAAGACUAAACUUUCUUGGUCGCUUAGAAAAAAUGUCAGAUAAUCGAGCUGUGAUGUCAGAGAUGGAAGCCCCAAGGAAAUAUAACAAGAGGAAGGCCCUGUAACAGAUGGAUAGACGAUGUAGAGAAGGAUCUUAAAACCAUAAAUAUCAGGCAGUGGUGCAGGAAAGUAGCGACAGGGCAGAAUAGAAGAAUGCUGUUAAGCAGGCAAAGAUUUACAAAUGGUUGUAGUGUCAUUAGAAGAAGAAGAUUUAAGGACAGUUUAGGCAGGCUAUAUGCAUUAAGGCAUUAUUAAGCUUUGCAUUUAACCAUAUUGUAAUACACUAUAUCUUACAUGGUCAA